GACGAACGCUGGCGGCGUGCUUAACACAUGCAAGUCGAACGGAAAGGCCCUGCUUUUGUGGGGUGCUCGAGUGGCGAACGGGUGAGUAACACGUGAGUAACCUGCCCUUGACUUUGGGAUAACUUCAGGAAACUGGGGCUAAUACCGGAUAGGAGCCCCUGCUGCAUGGUGGGGGUUGGAAAGUUUCGGCGGUCGGGGAUGGACUCGCGGCUUAUCAGCUUGUUGGUGGGGUAGUGGCUUACCAAGGCUUUGACGGGUAGCCGGCCUGAGAGGGUGACCGGCCACAUUGGGACUGAGAUACGGCCCAGACUCCUACGGGAGGCAGCAGUGGGGAAUAUUGCACAAUGGGCGGAAGCCUGAUGCAGCAGCGCCGCGUGCGGGAUGACGGCCUUCGGGUUGUAAACCGCUUUCGCCUGUGACGAAGCGUGAGUGACGGUAAUGAGUAAAGAAGCACCGGCUAACUACGUG
rnacentral:rRNA from 1 species